UACGGAGGGUGCAAGCGUUGUCCGGAAUCACUGGGCGUAAAGGGCGCGUAGGCGGCUCAUGAAGGCUGUGGUGAAAGUCCGGGGCUCAACCUCGGAUCGGCCGUGGCGACUCGUGGGCUGGAGCACUGUAGAGGCGGGUGGAAUUCCGGGUGUAGCGGUGGAAUGCGUAGAGAUCCGGAAGAACACCAGUGGCGAAGGCGGCCCGCUGUGCAGUGGCUGACGCUGAGGCGCGACAGCGUGGGGAGCAAACAGG
rnacentral:rRNA from 1 species